GCCGCCGCGCCCUGACUUUGGCAACCCGCAGCUAUUCCAGGACUGCGCCCGUAACCGCAGCAACCUGUUCUUCGGGAAGGCAGGGACAUACAGCCGCCCACUGUUUGGAAAUUGCGCCGGCCCGCUACAGGAGCCACGCAGACACAUUGUAGCUUGCGACACACGUGUUCCAUCUGCCGAGCCGACGCUAACAGAGAGGCCGGGGUGCAGCGAUGUGCUGAAUACGUGCUGGUGUGAAACUCAUUAGAAAGCUGGACUUUUCAAAGCUGCUCCCUUGGCUGGAUCAAAGAUGGGAAAGAUGUCUGCCAAAUCAGUGAACAGCUGGGAUGGACACAUGCACUGGAAGUUGCCACAGGAACAUGUAUACUGGGAUGAGAAGAUGCCUGUGUGAGCCUGCGUACAGAGCAGUCUGAGGAAUUUCUGUUGUGUUGAUUGGUUUAUAUUUGUAAAUUAAAAACCCAAUCCCUGCCUUAAAGGCUUUGCAACCUCAAAUUCUAUGUUGAAUUUUGAGCUCUUUGCCUCAAGAAAGACACUGAGGUGCUGGAACGUGCCCAGGGAAGGACGAUGGAGCUGGAUGGAAGUGCUGUGCCAUUGCUACUAAAGAAGCCCUGACCACCCCACAGCUCAUUGACUGAAGCCUGACCUUGCUACAUUCAUGACCCGCACAGUGCCCCAACCAAGCUUUGUUUGGUCUCCAGACAAAAAAAUCUACAUUAAAUGGACCAAAAAGGAAGAAGUCUGAAAAUUGGCAGCUAUCAGCAAAUUGAAGACAGGGAAACUUUCAGAAGCAUUUGCUUUCUAAGAUGCUGUUGGCUGCAGUCUUCUUGAUAUGAGAAUUUUAUUUGCUUCUUGCAUUU